GACGAACGCUGGCGGCGGGCUUAACACAUGCAAGUCGAACGGAAAGGCCCUGCUUUUGUGGGGUGCUCGAGUGGCGAACGGGUGGGUAACACGUGAGUAACCUGCCCUUGACUUUGGGAUAACUUCAGGAAACUGGGGCUAAUACCGGAUAGGAGCUCCUGCUGCAUGGUGGGGGUUGGAAAGUUUCGGCGGUUGGGGAUGGACUCGCGGCUUAUCAGCUUGUUGGUGGGGUAGUGGCUUACCAAGGCGUUGAAGGGUAGCCGGCCUGGGAGGGUGACCGGCCACCUGGGGACUGAGAGACGGCCCAGACUCCAACGGUAGGCAGCAGUGGGGAAUAUUGCACAAUGGGCGGAAGCCUGAUGCAGCAACGCCGCGUGCGGGAUGACGGCCUUCGGGUUGUAAACCGCUUUCGCCUGUGACGAAGCGUGAGUGACGGUAAUGGGUAAAGAAGCACCGGCUAACUACGUG
rnacentral:rRNA from 1 species